CCCGCCGGGUCCCAGCCCAUCCUUCGCAACUUCGGAAAGAGCUCUUUUGGAGGUGAUGUGAGCAGCGCUGGCCGAAGGGAGUUAAGAGGAAUCUAAAAAUGGGCUGCAUUUCAAGUCUCGACUGAAAAUUUCCAGCCAGUAUCUAGCAUCACAAAACUUGAAACAGACUGGACUGCAGUGCUUGUGGGAAGAAUAACCCUGGGACCACCUGGCCUAACAGGGAAGCUUCAGUGAAAGCUUGGUACUGAACUGCUACUUAUAGAGCACACCCAUUUAAAAAGACACUAGAGACAAAGAACAACGCUCAACAGGACACAUAACUCAGAAUCUCAGAAGUCAGACGCCUGCAGAAUCAUAAACACAGGAGCUAAAGACUAACUGGCCAACCACUUGGACCUUCUUGUCUGAGAAGACCCUUGUGGCAGCUGCAACACAACUGAGGGCCUCCUAAGAAGCUCAAUUUACUCAAGCUAAAACUUCAGGACUCAUGAAGAUCAAGUAUACAGCACAUUACAACAAGUCCCACUGAGGCAUGGGUGGCCCUGGAGCAGGUGAGUGUCUCGAGGGAUCAUUAUCUGGCUGGAAGUACUUUAAGAAGAAUGUCUGUGGCAGAGAUCUAAGGAGCUCACAAAAUUCAAAGCAAAGUGUUUGGAUCUCUA